rnacentral:rRNA from 1 species
AGUGAACGCUGGCGGUAGGCCUAACACAUGCAAGUCGAACGGCAGCACAGUAAGAGCUUGCUCUUACGGGUGGCGAGUGGCGGACGGGUGAGGAAUACAUCGGAAUCUACUUUUUCGUGGGGGAUAACGUAGGGAAACUCACGCUAAUACCGCAUACGACCUACGGGUGAAAGCAGGGGAUCUUCGGACCUUGCGCGAUUGAAUGAGCCGAUGUCGGAUUAGCUAGUUGGCGGGGUAAAGGCCCACCAAGGCGACGAUCCGUAGCUGGUCUGAGAGGAUGAUCAGCCACACUGGAACUGAGACACGGUCCAGACUCCUACGGGAGGCAGCAGUGGGGAAUAUGGGACAAUGGGCGCAAGCCUGAUCCAGCCAUACCGCGUGGGUGAAGAAGGCCUUCGGGUUGUAAAGCCCUUUUGUUGGGAAAGAAAAGCAGCAGGUUAAUACCCCGCUGUUCUGACGGUACCCAAAGAAUAAGCACCGGCUAACUUCGUG